ensembl:snRNA U6 U6 spliceosomal RNA
GUGCUCACUUUGGUAGCACAUAUAUUAAAAUUAGAAUGAUACAGAGAAGAUUAGCAUGGCCCCUGUGAAAGGAUGACAUGCAAAUUCAUGAAGCAUUCCAUAUUUUU